rnacentral:rRNA from 1 species
CGUCAGAACGAACGCUGGCAGCGUGGAUAGGCAUGCAAGUCGGACGGGAUCGGGAAGAUAGCAAUAUCGGCCCGUGAGAGUGGCGGAAGGGCGAGGAACACGUGGGCAACCUGUCCUUGAGGUGGGGAAAACCGGCUGGAAACGGCGGCUAAUACCGAAUGUGGCGCCGGGAGGCAUCUUCCGAGCGCUAAAGGGGGCGAAAGCUCCCCCUCUUCGAGGGGCUCGCGCACCAUCAGCUUGUUGGCGGGGUAACGGCCCACCAAGGCUCACGGUUAGCUGGUCUGAGAGGAUGGCCAGCCGCACUGGGACUGAGAUACUGCCCAGACUCCUACGGGAGGCUGCAGUCGAGGAUCAUUCGCAAUGGGGGAAACCCUGACGAUGCGACGCUGCGUGGAGGAUGAAGGCCCUCGGGUCGUAAACUCCUGUCAUGAGGGAAAAGGCGAGGGGGCCCAACACGUCCCUUAGUUGAUGGUACCUCAAGAGGAACGGGCGGCUAACUCUGUGCCAGCCGCCGC